AAGGAUCAUUAUAGUAUAUGGAAUAACCCAUUCUAUGAACCCCACCUGUGUAUCAUUAAACUGUUGCUUCCAUGGGACUUGGGCCUGCGUCCACAUCGGCUUUACGGCUGGUGAGCGCCCAUGGGAGGAGAUAACAAGACCCUUCUUUGACAUGUAAUAAGUCUGAAAUUGUUUUUAUAAUUUUUAAAACUUUCAACAACGGAUCUCUUGGUUCUC
rnacentral:misc_RNA from 1 species